rnacentral:rRNA from 1 species
GACGAACCGUGCGAACGUUGUUCGGAUUCACUGGGCUUAAAGGGCGCGUAGGCGGACUUGCAAGUCUGUGGUGAAAGCCCCCAGCUCAACUGGGGAAGUGCCGUGGAUACUGUGAGUCUGGAGGAGGGUAGGGGCAUCUAGAACGCUGGGUGGAGCGGUGAAAUGCGUUGAUAUCCAGCGGAACUCCGGUGGCGAAGGCGAGGUGCUGGACCCUUUCUGACGCUGAUGCGCGAAAGCCAGGGGAGCAAACGGG